AUUGAACGCUGGCGGCAUGCUUUACACAUGCAAGUCGAACGGUAACAGGCCGCAAGGUGCUGACGAGUGGCGAACGGGUGAGUAAUGCAUCGGAACGUGCACAGCCGUGGGGGAUAACGCAGCGAAAGCGGUGCUAAUACCGCAUACGAUCUAUGGAUGAAAGCGGGGGACCGUAAGGCCUCGCGCGAUUGGAGUGGCCGAUGUCAGAUUAGGUAGGUGGUGGGGGAAAGGCUCACCAAGCCAACGAUCAGUAGCUGGUCUGAGAGGACGAGCAGCCACACUGGGACUGAGACACGGCCCAGACUCCUACGGGAGGCAGAAGUGGGGAAUUUUGGACAAUGGGCGCAAGCCUGAUCCAGCAAUGCCGCGUGCAGGAAGAAGGCCUUCGGGUUGUAAACUGCUUUUGUACGGAACGAAAAGGUUUGGGUUAAUACCCUGGGCCGAUGACGGUACCGUAAGAAUAAGCACCGGCUAACUACGUGCCAGCCGCCGCAGUAAAAC
rnacentral:rRNA from 1 species